CUAGAACAGACGAUGUUUAUUAUGUGUUUUUUUUUUCAUUCAUUCAUACAUAAUAAAAAAGAACUUCAUUACUUGUUAUCAAAAGUUCCCCCCAAAAGCUUAAAGUAUUAGUCUGAGGUAGACUCAAUGUAUAUAACCCCUGUUGAAACCCUUUAUUUAACCAAUGCGGAAUAACACUUCUAAUAAUUGAUUGAUCAUGGCAACUACUCAUGUCUAAGUGGUUUUGAUUGCAUUUUUAGUAGCUUUUGUCCACUUAUUCUGUCAUGGAUUAAUAAGCCACUGGAGGCACCAUCAUAACAUUUUUACUUUUCUCAAAUCCAGGACACCGAUGUUGAGAUGAUGAAUUUCCAUGGAUCUAUAUGCAACUUUGUUUGUCAUUUGAGAUGUUAAUACAUAGAUUGCACAAUCUGAUGAUGGAUUCAUGGCCUUGAUCCUGUCAUAAGUAACAUCCUCUACGGUGGAAAAUCUGGAGCUUCACUGGAAUUUAGGCAGUUGUGGGAUAUUCCAACCAAAUAUCUGGGAUAUGGAUGCGACAGGGACGUUCUUUAAACCGAUUGCAUUGUGUCGUGCUUUAUGAAUGGGAGCUGUCCAUCACAGUACGAGAUUCUUCAUUCUCGACGUGGUAGCAUUCUGCGCUUGUGUGAAUAAAGCAGUGAAGGUACCAUAAACGUGUUCGGCAUUUUCUCAAAGCUAGGGCACUAAUGUCAAGAUGAUGAAUCUCCAUGGAUUAGUAUCAAACUUUGCU